AAAUUUAAUCCAAGUUUAUAUUUUCCAAAUAUUUAGAAGCGCUAUAACAUUCUAAGUUACUUGGUCUACAUAUGUUUGUAACUGAUUUGCUCUCAUUGGCUGUUUUUCAAACUAAUUAUACUGAAAAAUCGCGUCGCGUUGUCGAAGCGCGUCCGGUGCGUCUGAAUCUUAAGGUCUGAUUCCACGACGGCGAAAUUCGUCGCGAGAGCUUGUGUCUGCGAAAUACGGUGGUUGCACAUGAGCGAUUGUAUUGAAUUGUCCCACUUUGUCCGCUUUCGCAGUAAGUAGAAAUGUUUCGCAUUCAUUGAUGGUGCAUUCUCGAAAU